rnacentral:rRNA from 1 species
UGCAAGUUGAGCGCUGAAGGUUGGUACUUGUACCAACUGGAUGAGCAGCGAACGGGUGAGUAACGCGUGGGGAAUCUGCCUUUGAGCGGGGGACAACAUUUGGAAACGAAUGCUAAUACCGCAUAAAAACUUUAAACACAAGUUUUAAGUUUGAAAGAUGCAAUUGCAUCACUCAAAGAUGAUCCCGCGUUGUAUUAGCUAGUUGGUGAGGUAAAGGCUCACCAAGGCGAUGAUACAUAGCCGACCUGAGAGGGUGAUCGGCCACAUUGGGACUGAGACACGGCCCAAACUCCUACGGGAGGCAGCAGUAGGGAAUCUUCGGCAAUGGACGAAAGUCUGACCGAGCAACGCCGCGUGAGUGAAGAAGGUUUUCGGAUCGUAAAACUCUGUUGGUAGAGAAGAACGUUGGUGAGAGUGGAAAGCUCAUCAAGUGACGGUAACUACCCAGAAAGGGACGGCUAACUACGUGCCAGCAGCCGCGGUAAUACGUAGGUCCCGAGCGUUGUCCGGAUUUAUUGGGCGUAAAGCGAGCGCAGGUGGUUUAUUAAGUCUGGUGUAAAAGGC